GAUGAACGCUAGCUACAGGCUUAACACAUGCAAGUCGAGGGGCAGCAUUUUAGUUUGCUUGCAAACUGAAGAUGGCGACUGGCGCACGGGUGAGUAACACGUAUCCAACCUGCCGAUAACUCCGGAAUAGCCUUUCGAAAGAAAGAUUAAUACCGGAUAGCAUACGAAUAUCGCAUGAUAUUUUUAUUAAAGAAUUUCGGUUAUCGAUGGGGAUGCGUUCCAUUAGUUUGUUGGCGGGGUAACGGCCCACCAAGACUACGAUGGAUAGGGGUUCUGAGAGGAAGGUCCCCCACAUUGGAACUGAGACACGGUCCAAACUCCUACGGGAGGCAGCAGUGAGGAAUAUUGGUCAAUGGGCGCGAGCCUGAACCAGCCAAGUAGCGUGAAGGAUGAAGGCUCUAUGGGUCGUAAACUUCUUUUAUAUGGGAAUAAAGUUUUCCACGUGUGGAAUUUUGUAUGUACCAUAUGAAUAAGGAUCGGCUAACUCCGUGCCAGCAGCCGCGGUAAUACGGAGGAUCCGAGCGUUAUCCGGAUUUAUUGGGUUUAAAGGGAGCGUAGGUGGAUUGUUAAGUCAGUUGUGAAAGUUUGCGGCUCAACCGUAAAAUUGCAGUUGAAACUGGCAGUCUUGAGUACAGUAGAGGUGGGCGGAAUUCGUGGUGUAGCGGUGAAAUGCUUAGAUAUCACGAAGAACUCCGAUUGCGAAGGCAGCUCACUAGACUGUUACUGACACUGAUGCUCGAAAGUGUGGGUAUCAAACGGGACUAGAUACCCUGGUAGUCCACACAGUAAACGAUGAAUACUCGCUGUUUGCGAUAUACAGUAAGCGGCCAAGCGAAAGCAUUAAGUAUUCCACCUGGGGAGUACGCCGGCAACGGUGAAACUCAAAGGAAUUGACGGGGGCCCGCACAAGCGGAGGAACAUGUGGUUUAAUUCGAAGCAACGCGAAGAACCUUACCAGGUCUUGACAUCCUUCUGACCACUCCGUAAUGGGAGUUUUCCUUCGGGACAGAAGAGACAGGUGGUGCAUGGUUGUCGUCAGCUCGUGUCGUGAGAUGUUGGGUUAAGUCCCGCAACGAGCGCAACCCCUAUCUUCAGUAGCCAGCAGGUAGAGCUGGGCACUCUGGAGAGACUGCCAGGGAUAACCUGGAGGAAGGUGGGGAGGACGUCAAAUCAUCAUGCCCCUUAUGAUCCGGGCGACACACGUGCUACAAUGGCGGUCACAGAGUGAGGCGAACCUGCGAGGGGGAGCAAACCACAAAAAGGCCGUCCCAGUUCGGACUGUAGUCUGCAACCCGACUACACGAAGCUGGAAUCGCUAGUAAUCGCGAAUCAGAAUGUCGCGGUGAAU
rnacentral:rRNA from 1 species